rnacentral:rRNA from 1 species
UACGUAGGUGGCAAGCGUUGUCCGGAUUUACUGGGCGUAAAGAGCGCGCAGGCGGUCGUCAAGUCGCGUGUGAAAGCCCUGGGCUUAACCUAGGAAGUGCACUCGAAACUGCCAAGCUUGAGUUCUGGAGAGGAAGGCGGAAUUCUCGGUGUAGAGGUGAAAUUCGUAGAAUAUCAGGAGGAACACCGGUGGCGAAGGCGGUUCUCUGGGCAUGACCUGGACGCUGAGGAGCGAAAGUGU